rnacentral:rRNA from 1 species
UACGUAGGGUGCGAGCGUUAAUCGGAAUUACUGGGCGUAAAGCGUGCGCAGGCGGUUCGUUGUGUCGGCGGUGAAAGCCCCGGGCUUAACCUGGGAAUGGCCGUCGAAACUGGCGAACUGGAGUGUGGCAGAGGGGGGUGGAAUUCCGCGUGUAGCAGUGAAAUGCGUAGAGAUGCGGAGGAACACCGAUGGCGAAGGCAGCCCCCUGGGCUGACACUGACGCUCAGGCACGAAAGCGUGGGAAGCAAACAGAUGAUA